rnacentral:rRNA from 1 species
GAUGAACGCUGGCGGCGUGCCUAAUACAUGCAAGUCGAGCGAACAGACGAGGAGCUUGCUCCUCUGACGUUAGCGGCGGACGGGUGAGUAACACGUGGAUAACCUACCUAUAAGACUGGGAUAACUUCGGGAAACCGGAGCUAAUGCCGGAUAAUAUAUUGAACCGCAUGGUUCAAUAGUGAAAGACGGUUUUGCUGUCACUUAUAGAUGGAUCCGCGCCGCAUUAGCUAGUUGGUAAGGUAACGGCUUACCAAGGCAACGAUGCGUAGCCGACCUGAGAGGGUGAUCCGCCACACUGGAACUGAGACACGGUCCAGACUCCUACGAGAGGCAGCAGUAGGCAAUCUUCCGCAAUGGGCGCAAGCUUGACGGAGCAACGCCGCGUGAGUGCUGAAGGUCCUCGGAUCGUAAAACUCUGUUAUUAGGGAAGAACAAAUGUGUAAGUAACUAUGCACGUCUUGACGGUACCUAAUCAGAAAGCCACGGCUAACUACGUG